GAAUUCGCCCUUAGAGUUUGAUCCUGGCUCAGGACGAACGCUGGCGGCGCGCCUAACACAUGCAAGUCGAACGAGCGAGAGAGAGCUUGCUUUCUCGAGCGAGUGGCGAACGGGUGAGUAACGCGUGAGGAACCUGCCUCAAAGAGGGGGACAACAGUUGGAAACGACUGCUAAUACCGCAUAAGCCCACGGCUCGGCAUCGAGCAGAGGGAAAAGGAGCAAUCCGCUUUGAGAUGGCCUCGCGUCCGAUUAGCUAGUUGGUGAGGUAACGGCCCACCAAGGCGACGAUCGGUAGCCGGACUGAGAGGUUGAACGGCCACAUUGGGACUGAGACACGGCCCAGACUCCUACGGGAGGCAGCAGUGGGGAAUAUUGCACAAUGGGGGAAACCCUGAUGCAGCGACGCCGCGUGGAGGAAGAAGGUCUUCGGAUUGUAAACUCCUGUUGUUGAGGAAGAUAAUGACGGUACUCAACAAGGAAGUGACGGCUAACUACGUGCCAGCAGCCGCGGUAAAACGUAGGUCACAAGCGUUGUCCGGAAUUACUGGGUGUAAAGGGAGCGCAGGCGGGAAGACAAGUUGGAAGUGAAAUCCAUGGGCUCAACCCAUGAACUGCUUUCAAAACUGUUUUUCUUGAGUAGUGCAGAGGUAGGCGGAAUUCCCGGUGUAGCGGUGGAAUGCGUAGAUAUCGGGAGGAACACCAGUGGCGAAGGCGGCCUACUGGGCACCAACUGACGCUGAGGCUCGAAAGUGUGGGUAGCAAACAGGAUGUAGAUACCCUGGUAGUCCACACUGUAAACGAUG
rnacentral:rRNA from 1 species